GUCACUCCUACGGGAGGCAGCAGUGGGGAAUAUUGCACAAUGGGGGAAACCCUGAUGCAGCCAUGCCGCGUGUGUGAAGAAGGCCUUCGGGUUGUAAAGCACUUUCAGUAGGGAGGAAGGUAGUGUAGUUAACACCUGCAUUAUUUGACAUUACCUACAGAAGAAGCACCGGCUAACUCCGUGCCAGCAGCCGCGGUAAUACGGAGGGUGCGAGCGUUAAUCGGAAUUACUGGGCGUAAAGCGCAUGCAGGCGGCCUGUUAAGUCAGAUGUGAAAGCCCGGGGCUUAACCUCGGAAUUGCAUUUGAAACUGGCAGGCUAGAGUCUUGUAGAGGGGGUAGAAUUUCAGGUGUAGCGGUGAAAAUGCGUAGAGAUCUGAAGGAAUACCAGUGGCGAAGGCGGCCCCCUGGACAAAGACUGACGCUCAGAUGCGAAAGCGUGGGGAGCAAACAGGAUUAGAUACCCUGGUAG
rnacentral:rRNA from 1 species